CUUGGAGAGAGCAAGCCAAGAAUCCCUACCCUCCCUCCCUCCCUCCCUCCCUUAGAGAGAGCAAGCCAAGAAUUACAUACAUACUACAUUCUUCUUCCUGGUUCAGGUUCCUGAGAUAUCAGACUGACCUAAUGAAGCACUCACAACUCAACUGAACAUUGGGAUAGUUUUAAAGAAUGAUAUCAGACCUGCAAGGAAAUUGAACCGUCGACCGGGCUGACCAGAAGCAACAUGACCAGUGUUAACUCCCCCGCCUGCCUCCUGGCUCGUAACCAGUUCUAUAGAAACACAACAAGCCCUACAGAGAGUAUAAAGCCUAAUGCAGUCUACAGCCUCUCUGAUUGGUCGAUGCUACAAGUACUGGUCUGGGUGACCAUGUCAACACAACCAGGGUUCCCAGGAGCAGGGGGAAUAUCUAAAGGAAGGUGGGUCAGUGUGGUUCUGGGGGAGCCCCAAACCAUGCACCGCCCCGUCCAGCCCACCGCCCCGUCCAGCCCACCGCCCUCGCCCAGUGCUCCCGUCCAGCACCCCGGUCCAGCGCCCCCCAGUCCAGCUCCCCGGUCCAGCUCCCCGGUCCAGCUCCCGGUCCAGCGCCCCCGGUCCAGCGUCCCCGGUCCAGCGCCCCGGGUCCAGCGCCCCCGGUCCAGCGCCCCCCAGCCAACAGAGCGGUCCAGUAGAGUCACACCACCACCAAUCAACAGGUUGAAACACAAAGAGGGAAAGACUCCAAGAGGAAGACGAGGGAGAAGACAUCUUCCACUCUGUCUGUCCUCUCAGCACAGAAAUAUGGACUUGAUCAAGCCAGUCGGUGUCGAACAUGUUUUACAUUUUGCGUCACUCCCUAUCCUACCCUGAAAAAUGCCAUUUCUGCAAGCGCUCUCUAAAAACAGACUUCAGCCUUUAUUCAAUCUCUAUUCGCUGAGGCGUUACAGAUUGCACGCUAUAAAUUUAAAGGUCAUUUCUGAUUGAGUCGACAUAUUACAGCGUUUACCGUGAAUGCACUCUCCACUAACAUUGCCUUUUAAAUUUAAAUCGUGACGUAACGCUGAACUUCCGCGAUAUGGAUUGAAAAGACCCUCCCUUUAUAUUAUUCCAUACAUUGGUAUAAGAUAUGAAUUCAAUCAAACACACAGUCCAGUUAUACACCCUCUGCUCCUACUCUCCUUUUUCUAUUGUUAAUUUUCCCCUCCCUUCCUUUCUUCAUUUCAUAACUUUGGCCACAGCCUGUUCUACUCUGUGCAGCAUAACUAACGGAACAAGAUGUUCCCUUUUCUCCUGAUACUGGCUGGUUGCCAGGCAGCAAUAUGGGAACAUUCAUUCAUGAGUUGAAUAAAACAGAAACCUGUUACCUGGUUCAGAGCUAGAGAGACAGGCAGCAGAAACCUGUUACCUGGUUCAGAGCUAGAGAGAGACAGGCCGACAGGCAGCAGAAACCUGUUGCCUGGUUCAGAGCUAGAGAGAGACAGGCAGACAGGCAGCAGAAACCUGAUGCCUGGUUCAGAGCUAGAGAGAGACAGGCCGACAGGCAGCAGAAACCUGAUGCCUGGUUCAGAGCUAGAGAGAGACAGGCCGACAGGCAGCAGAAACCUGAUGCCUGGUUCAGAGCUAGAGAGACAGGCCGACAGGCAGCAGAAACCUGAUGCCUGGUUCAGAGCUAGAGAGAGACAGGCCGACAGGCAGCAGAAACCUGAUGCCUGGUUCAGAGCUAGAGAGAGACAGGCCGACAGGCAGCAGAAACCUGUUGCCUGGUUCAGAGCUAGAGAGAGACAGGCCCACAGGCAGCAGAAACCUGUUACCUGGUUCAGAGCUAGAGAGAGACAGGCAGCAGAAACCUGAUGCCUGGUUCAGAGCUAGAGAGAGACAGGCCGACAGGCAGCAGAAACCUGAUGCCUGGUUCAGAGCUAGAGAGAGACAGGCCGACAGGCAGCAUAAACCUGUUACCUGGUUCAGAGCUAGAGAGAGACAGGCCGACAGGCAGCAGAAACCUGAUGCCUGGUUCAGAGCUAGAGAGAGACAGGCCGACAGGCAGCAGAAACCUGUUGCCUGGUUCAGAGCUAGAGAGACAGGCAGCAGAAAUCUGAUGCCUGGUUCAGAGCUAGAGAGAGACAGGCCGACAGGCAGCAGAAACCUGUUACCUGGUUCAGAGCUAGAGAGACAGGCCGACAGGCAGCAGAAACCUGAUGCCUGGUUCAGAGCUAGAGAGACAGGCAGCAGAAACCUGUUACCUGGUUCAGAGCUAGAGAGAGACAGGCAGCAGAAACCUGUUACCUGGUUCAGAGCUAGAGAGACAGGCAGCAGAAACCUGUUACCUGGUUCAGAGCUAGAGAGAGACAGGCAGCAGAAACCUGAUGCCUGGUUCAGAGCUAGAGAGACAGGCAGCAGAAACCUGUUACCUGGUUCAGAGCUAGAGAGAGACAGGCAGCAGAAACCUGUUACCUGGUUCAGAGCUAGAGAGACAGGCAGCAGAAACCUGUUACCUGGUUCAGAGCUAGAGAGACAGGCAGCAGCAACCUGUUACCUGGUUCAGAGCUAGAGAGACAGACUGAUUCUCUCCCUCCCUUUUUCUCUCUGUGAGAAGUAUGUUCCCACCCACACACAACUACCCAGUGACCUGGAAAAACUGCUGCUCAGUCUAAAGAUAAAAGCACUUCUGGAACAUAAUGAUCCUUGUUUGUUUUUCCCUGGUCCCUUCUGUUCUAUGUGUUUGGUUCCUGGGUAGCAAGGCAUGACACAUUCACGUAAUCUAAUGGCUACAACGCUAGUAUUGUAGUCUAUGGAUCGACAAUAGCAUUUAGUUAGCUUCUGGUUAAAUCCCCAAGACAGAUCUGUCAAUGUAUUGACUGAUAUGCAAAUAUAAUGUGCUUUAUAUAUUCACAAACAUUAACCUCUGAUGGAAGUGUAAUUUGUAUAUAGUAAAAUAGUCUUUCAUACUUGUUUUAUGCAACCAACCUCACUUGAUUUACCAAAUAAAACCAUAAUAGAAAGAUAUUUUUAAUCCCAGCCCCUGUCCCCUCAGGUCUUUUUGCCUUUUGGUAGGCCGUCAUUGUAAAUAAGAAUUUGUUCUUAACUGACUUGCCUAGUUAAAUAAAGGUUAAAUCAAAAUAAAAUAUCUGCCGAUCAUAAGCGGUUUUCCUUUCUUUGAGCUACAGAAAUGUAUCUUUCAGUAUAAAAUAGCAGAAUAUUGGAGAAAGCUUUUCCCAACAUUGUAAGACAAAUUCAACGGUGCUGUUGGAGGCCGUUAUGACACUAUAACCUUUUCUAGAAUAAUCCGUAGUAAUCAUCCUGUUAUGGGAUUGGGUGAAUCUAUGUGCAUUGUAUUUAGGCAUAGGGAUAGGGGACUGCUUCGGACUGCAUGAAUGAUUCCCUAAAGGUCAAUAGAAACCUUCUGUCAGGGUUAUGAUAGGGUCAAGGUUAAGUUACUGUCCAAAUGGCUAGUUUCUGUGGGAAGUGAGAUGAUGGCUUUCAACGUAGCAGUUGGGGAGAGAAGUGAGAAUGACAAGAUGCAGAUAUCAGAAUGGUAUCUGAAGGGAGAUCAGAGCCAAACAGCCAUCUGGUCCAGCCUGUCCCAUCCUGCUGAGACAUUCACCCCAGGUACUGUAGAUAAGACUGGCUCUGUAGCACUGUGCUGCUAUACAGCUGAGGGUAUCCUGUUGGGUGAAUACAUCUGGUCGGAGAUUUUCUCUGCCUCCGUAUCCGAGUACCGUACCGGAGUAGAACCUAACAGUGUCAGGCAAUAUGGUGUCUUGACUCAAGACAAGAACAGCCUAAUGGCCUGGUGUCAGACAACAUGGUUUGACUCAAGACAAGAACAGCCUAAUGGCCUGGUGUCAGACAACAUGGUGUCUUGCAGUGUUGGCAGUAGGAAGCCCCCUCCACUAGACAUACUUAUCAUAACGGUGUUACAUUUCACAUAGCAAUUGACUGUACUGAAUAGUCCUAAGCUUCCAGAAUAAACUUUACACAGCAUGGUAGGAAUGGACAUUCCCAUUUACUUACUAUACUUGGCAGAGGGAUUGUUUGUUUCUAGUAUUUCAGAUCCAUAACUGCCAAAAGAUCCAUAACUGCCAAAGGCUUCAUAAGUCACAGACAAGAAGGUAAGAGGAUCCAUGCAUAUCAAUGGUCUGUUUCCAGUAUUCAGCCUGACAGAGUUGAACACUGAGUGCCCAGGUUAAAACCUCUACGGGAUCGUGUGUCCCAGCCGCGGGAUGGUUGAGCUAACGUGCGCUAAUGUGAUUAGCAUGAGGUUGUAAGUAACAAGAACAUUUCCCAGGACAUAGACAUGUCUUAUAUGGGCAGAAAGCUUAAAUUCUUGUUAAUCUAACUGGACUGUCCAAUUUACAGUAGCUAUUACAGUGAAAGAAUACCAUGCUAUUGUUUGAGGAGAGUGCACAACAGAAAACGUAUCACGGCAACUGGUUUGAUACAUUCACCUCUGAAGGUAAAUAAUGUACUUACAUUCAGUAAUCUUGCUCUGAUUUGUCAUCCUGAGGGUCCCAUAAAAUGUAGCAUAGUUUUGUUUGAUAAAAUCUAUUUUUAUAUUCAAAUGUAGGAAGAGGGUUCUACAGUUUGAACCCCUGCCCCUAGAUGUGUGAAGGUUAGUGUAUUUUCUAUAGGGAAGCUAAUUAUUCAUCACAUUCCUGAGUGUGUAAACUUACAAAAAUUAUAUGGUAAUAAAAAAAUGUAUGUUCUCUAUAGGGUUUGAUCCUUUUAAUGUUGACUGACGAAUAAAGGUUGACUGACGGAUACUGAGUGCCCAGGUUAAUGUUGACUGUUUGGCAUAGCAAGAUUGUUUUCAGAGCAAUAAAUUCCAUUGAAAGAAACAGAAAUGACAGACAAGUCUAUAAUUAGGCUGAGGCGACUUUUACUAGACAUCUGCAAUCACAGGGUGACAAAGUGGAGAAGUUAACAAAAGUUAUGAGGGCACCACGGUGUUACAGACAAGUACAAAUGUAAAAAAAAAAAAAAGAUUUUUUAUAUAUAUAUAUUUUGUUCAUAGAUUUAAAAAAAACAAAAACGGGAUACAAAUAAAACAACGGUCAUUGUCAACCUGUCCUACUAAGACAAACAAAAAAAGCGUGUGUGUUCCAAUAUCCAUACUACCUAGUAUGAAGCAAUGUAAGAGGCAUACAUUCUAUGUAGUGUGGAGGAUGGAACCGCAUUAAGGGUUUAGGGAAUGGGGACGCAGCCUCCGUCUCCUAGCGUUUGUCCCAUCUCUCAGGAGGGGGGUGGACUCCCCGGCUCCGGCCUCCCGGCUUCGCUGCCGUCGCUGACCUGCCUCUUCAUCACCAUCUCCCUGGCAACGCAGGUCACCUGGCCGUUGGUCACAGUCAUGGCCGCCGCCCUGGAAGAGAGGGGUCGAGUGUGAGAGCAAAGCAAAACGGGGAGAGGUAAGGAUGACCUGCGUGGCUCAGUCGGGAAGACUGUAGCACUAACAAUGCAAAGGUCGCCAGUUCAAUUCCCAGGGAUGGAGGACAGUGUGAGCGAGGAGGAGUUGUUUAGGGAGAGAGAGGUUGAGUGUGAGAACAAGGAAAACUGGUGUUGUAUUCAGCAGGGAGCACCUUGCUUAAUGUUGUAGAUGAAACUGCCAUGAGGAUUAUGUCUUAGUGUGUCAGAAAGCUGUCUGUCCUAGUGAGGGACCCAGGAGGGAGUAUUCAUGAAGCAAGACAAUAAGGGUUUGGAAAUGUCAGCUAAUGAAUUGACUACUAGUUGAAGUUGUUUCACAACACUUAUAAAGAGCUGGGGGUUUUUCCGCUAGCAUUCUGGUAAGACGCCCAAUGGGCUUUAGCGGGGGUUUUUUGCACCCCCUUGUGUAAAACCGUAAAUCCCAGUGUGAGAGAAGGACAGUAUAAGGAUACACGCGAAUAUGAAAACCUUGCUACCGCACAUUUGUGUGAAAUUACAGAUGCUUAUUUGUUUGAUAUUAAUAAGCCUGUAUUCUGGAUGGCCUUGUCUUCACCUCUUCUGACCAACUAGUCGGUAUAAUGUAAGUAAGUCCCAUAGUGAACAAUGUAACUUAAGAUACGCACCUUUGUCUUUAACGCUAAUAAAAAGGCCCAAUGUCUUUAACGCUAAUAAAAAGGCCCAUUGUCUUUAACGCUAAUAAAAAAGGCCCAACCAAGAAUCUGUUUGUUUGUCCAUUUAUGAACACUUGCCAUCUCACCUUUACUAUAGUAGCUAUCAGGAAGGUUAGUCUCCUCACCUAACAGUGGGUGAGGGCGGGGUUAACGGUGUGCUGAGUAGGUGUGGGAGGAGCUAUGAAUGGACAUUUCUCCAUUGAAAGUCUAUGGCCAUUGGAAUGCAUUGAAAUAGUAUCAAAAUGGUGGGCAGAAGGAAGAUAAUGUGAUUAGGUCAAGUCGAAUUCCAUAAGAGAUGUAACAAGCACACUAAAACCUUAAAAGUAUUACCUCUGGUUAGAUCAGUAGCUUGUGACUUUACUGCAUUAGGUUAAAAAAAAAUAAAGCUUUAUUUUUAAAACUUACAAGAUAAUUUUUUUUUACGAAUUCGUCAAAGAUUUAAUGCAUAUUGCAUAAAUUAACAUGAAAUGUGUAUUAUACACACAAAUAUAAAACGUUGGUGCCAUGAACUUAAUUAAGAUCCCAGAACUUUCCAUACUCAAAAAACAUCUAAAAUGUUGUGCACAAAUUUGUUUAGACCCGUUUUAAUGACCUUUUUCUCCUUUGCCAAGAUAAUUAAUCCACCUGACAGGUGUGGCAUAUUAUGAAGCUGAAUAAACAGCAUAAUCAUUACACAGGUGCACCUUUUGCUGGGUACAAUAAAAGGCCUCUAAAAAUGGGCAGUUUUGUCACACAACACAAUGCCACAGAUGUCUCAAGUUGAGGGAGUGUGCAAUUGGUAUGCUGACUGCAGGAAUGUCCACCAGAACUGUUGCCAGAGAAUUUAAUGUUAAAUUAUCUACCAUAAGCUGCACUCAGCGUCAUUUUAGAUAAUGUGGCAGUAUGUCUAAGACCAGCCACCCGGACAGCUGAUAAAACAGAGGAGUAUUUCUGUCUGUAAUAAAGCUCUUUUGUGGGGAAAAAACUGAUUGGCAGGGCCUGGCUCCCCAGUGCGUGUGCCUGUGACAGUCCAUGCCCACCCAUGGCUGCGGCCCUGCACAGUCAUAUGAAAUCCAUUGAUUAGGGCCUAAUUUAUUUAAAUUAACCGAUUUCCUUUUAUGAACUGUAACUCAGGAAAUUUCUCCCUCUCAAAUUCCAGUUAACUCCUGAAAAUGACUUUGUUUGUUAAUCUGAGUCCACCUGGUGUCAUUUUGGCACCAUUUUUUUAGAAAAGGCUUUGCCAUUGACAUGUGCAUCUUAUCCUGUGACCUUUUGACCCAGAAUUGAGACACACACACACAAAGAAAAUUAUAUAUCUUAGCAAUGGUAAGCCCUACAGACAUGAAACAAAGUGCACUGUGCUUCUGAGAGUAUGUUCAGUUCAGCUCUAAAAGCAAUGUUUAUUUUACACCCCCCCCCCCCAAGGGAGCGCAAUGGAACCAGAGGAUAAGUCAAGAACAUUCUGAAGUGUUUUGAAUACGUAAGAGGUUAUAGUCCAUUACCCACAUUUCUCCCAGUUGCCUACUUUAACUUACUUCUGCUUGGCCUCCUCAGUCAGAGUGGUCAUUCCUGGCUGGUUCUGCUUCCCAAAGAAGAAGCUGGACCACCAAUGUCCAGAGUCUUGUUUGGGCAGACCUGAGAAACAAGAUUAACAACUAGGUCAAACACAUAGAAAAUGAAUAAACAUAAGACAAUUACCUAUAUAAUAGCCCCAACAUAAUACAUAAAAGGUUCACACGGAUAUACAGUAACCCGAUUACCCGAUAAUUCUAUAGUUGACCCUCGGAUCGGAUCACGCUCGGUGGCCACGGACCGGUGUGAAAAUACAGACCAGAUCUGAAAUUAUUUGAAGAAAAUAUCCUAAUAAAAAUAAAUAAUCUAAUUAGCUACACAUGGCAGUUGGCUCAGUAAAAAAUAUUUAAUCUGUCUCCUUCACCGGUCUUCCUCGCUCUGUCUGACUUGAGCUCUCGCUAUUCCUGGGGUUGUGUGUUUCGUCACAAUGUACUUUUGAAUGUUCGUUUUGGACUGAUGUCCGACUGAGCAUUCUACUCAACGCAUCAUCAAUGAUCGCUGAUGGAGAUUUCAAAAGGUGCAUUACAGUGGCUUGGAAAUACAAUGACAUUCAAAAUGGAGGCAAAUAAUUAGUAGGAAAACAUUUUCAUGUCACCAGAUUGACUUUAGAUGUAGUAUAACGCUUGCUAGCAUUGCCAGCUAUUUUUGACAAACUUUACUAGCUAAUGUCAACAUUGCCAACCGUCUAAAGUAAGUUUGAUGACAUGUUAACGCUGACAAAGUUGUUUCCUACUAAAUAUUUGACUACUUUAGCGAUGUCAUCGUAUUUCCUGGUCCCCCAAAAAACAAACAAGAAAAGUAGUUUUGCUGUAAUACACAGCUGUAUUUGAGCCAGGGCGAAGUGUUCAGAUAGUCUAUUUUAUGACGUUUCCGCUGGAUAUACGGGAUCAGCAAUAUGUUGCCAUUUCACUAUGGAGAGAACGAGAGUGUUGGAAAGAUGUUUCAAAUACAGUGAGGAACUAUACUGUGGUGACCAUAAAAAUACAUUGAGAAGCUCUGAGGCACAUAAGUGGUGGUGCAUUAGGACAAUUAGAAAUCCCCAAACUGGAACUUUUAUAGACCUACAGGCCAGGUACUUCUUUACAUGUUCAAGUUAAAUAAUACAUAAUACAUACAUACAUAGCUCCAAAAAAUAAAGGGAACACUAAAAUAACACAUCCUAGAUCUGAAUGAAUGAAAUAAUCUUAUUAAAUACUUUUUUCUUUACAUAGUUGAAUGUGCUGACAACAAAAUCACACAAAAAUAAUCAAUGGAAAUCCAAUGUAUCAACCCAUGGAGGUCUGGAUUUGGAGUCACACUCAAAAUUAAAGUGGAAAACCACACUACAGGCUGAUCCAACUUUGAUGUAAUGUCCUUAAAACAAGUCAAAAUGAGGCUCAGUAGUGUGUGGCCUCCACGUGCCCGUAUGACCUCCCUACAAUGCCUGGGCAUGCUCCUGAUGAGGUGGCAGAUGGUCUCCUGAGGGAUCUCCUCCCAGACCUGGACUAAAGCAUCCACCAACUCCUGGACAGUCUGUGGUGCAACGUGGCGUUGGUGGAUGGAGCGAGACAUGAUGUCCCAGAUGUGCUCAAUUGGAUUCAGGUCUGGGGAACGGGCGGGCCAGUCCAUAGCAUCAAUGCCUUCCUCUUGCAGGAACUGCUGACACACUCCAGCCACAUGAGGUCUAGCAUUGUCUUGCAUUAGGAGGAACCCAGGGCCAACCGCACCAGCAUAUGGUCUCACAAGGGGUCUGAGGAUCUCAUCUCGGUACCUAAUGGCAGUCAGGCUACCUCUGGCGAGCACAUGGAGGGCUGUGCGGCCCCCAAAGAAAUGCCACCCCACACCAUGACUGACCCACCGCCAAACCGGUCAUGCUGGAGGAUGUUGCAGGCAGCAGAACGUUCUCCACGGCGUCUCCAGACUCUGUCACGUCUGUCACAUGUGCUCAGUGUGAACCUGCUUUCAUCUGUGAAGAGCACAGGGUGCCAGUGGCGAAUUUGCCAAUCUUGGUGUUCUCUGGCAAAUGCCAAACGUCCUGCACGGUGUUGGGCUGUAAGCACAACCCCCCCACCUGUGGACGUCGGGCCCUCAUACCACCGUCAUGGAGUCUGUUUCUGACCGUUUGAGCAGACACAUGCACAUUUGUGGCCUGCUGGAGGUCAUUUUGCAGGGCUCUGGCAGUGCUCCUCCUGCUCCGUCUUGCUGCUGGGUUGUUGCCCUCCUACGGCCUCCUCCACGUCUCUUGAUGUACUGGCCUGUCUCCUGGUAGCGCCUCCAUGCUCUGGACACUACGCUGACAGACACAGCAAACCUUUCUGCCACAGCUCGCAUUGAUGUGCCAUCCUGGAUGAGCUGCACUACCUGAGCCACUUGUGUGGGUUGUAGACUCCGUCUCAUGCUACCACUAGAGUGAUAGCACCGCCAGCAUUCAAAAGUGACCAAAACAUCAGCCAGGAAGCAUAGGAACUGAGAAGUGGUCUGUGGUCACCACCUGCAGAACUACUCCUUUAUUGGGGGUGUCUUGCUAAUUGCCUAUAAUUUCCACCUGUUGUCUAUUCCAUUUGCACAACAGCAUGUGAAAUGUAUUGUCAAUCAGUGUUGCUUCCUAAGUGGACAGUUUGAUUUCACAGAAGUGUGAUUGACUUGGAGUUACAUUGUGUUGUUUAAGUGUUCCCUUUAUUUUUUUGAGCAGUGUAUAUAUAAAAUAAACAUUUAACAAAAAGGGCAAACAAUUCACACAAUGAAAGCGCACAAAUUAGUGGGAGACAGAGCCAGAGAGCAUUCUGGAGAGACAGAACCAGAGAGCAUUCUGGAGAGACAGAGCCAGAGAGCAUUCUGGAGAGACAGAGCCAGAGAGCAUUCUGGAGAGACAGAGCCAGAGAGCAUUCUGGAGAGACAGAGCCAGAGAGCAUUCUGGAGAGCCAGAGCCAGAGAGCAUUCUGGAGAGCCAGAGCCAGAGAGCAUUCUGGAGAGCCAGAGCCAGAGAGCAUUCUGGAGAGCCAGAGCCAGAGAGCAUUCUGGAGAGCCAGAGCCAGAGAGCAUUCUGGAGAGACAGAGAGCAUUCUGGAGAGACAGAGCGUUUUAAUACUAAGCUGUAGUGUAGACCACAACGCAAUUCUCAAUAGAUCUGGUCCACCUCAGAUCCGAAUCAGGGAUUGAUUUCCCCCCCAAAAUAAAAAAAUGACCUGGUCCUGGUGGUGUCAGAUGGGAAUUUCACGGAUCCAAUUCGGUUAGGAUCUCAAUUUCAGGUCCAAGAAUACCUGAACUAAACAUAACUCACUAAAUGACCUCAUCACUGUGUACAUGUAAAGCUUCAGUAGACGAGGAAAAAACUGACUACCAUUCUCUGCUGCCUCAGUUGGUGUUGUCAUGGCACCGUGCCCUGAGGCAGCAGAGAAUGGUAGUCAGUCAGUUGGUGUUGUCAUGGCACCGUGCCCUGAGGCAGCAGAGAAUGGUAGUCAGUCAGUUGGUGUUGUCAUGGCACCGUGCCCUGAGGCAGCAGAGAAUGGUAGUCAGUCAGUUGGUGUUGUCAUGGCACCGUGCCCUGAGGCAGCAGAGAAUGGUAGUCAGUCAGUUGGUGUUGUCAUGGCACCGUGCCCUGAGGCAGCAGAGAAUGGUAGUCAGUCAGUUGGUGUUGUCAUGGCACCGUGCCCUGAGGCAGCAGGGAAUGGUAGUCAGUCAGUUGGUGUUGUCAUGGCACCGUGCCCUGAGGCAGCAGAGAAUGGUAGUCAGUCAGUUGGUGUUGUCAUGGCACCGUGCCCUGAGGCAGCAGGGAAUGGUAGUCAGUCAGUUGGUGUUGUCAUGGCACCGUGCCCUGACUGGCACAACAAGGCAAUCCUACAGUCACCAACCUUAAAAGGUCUACCAUGUAGUAAGACUGGGACUAUACCAGUAUCGCCAUACUCAUACUACCCCAACAGUUAGGGAACUCCCAGUACCACCCCUGAACACAGUCCCUACCCCAACAGUUAGGGAACUCCCAGUACCACCCCUGAACACAGUCCCUACCACCACCCAUAUGCUUGCUUUGUGUACCUGGAUGGUGUGGAAUGACCUCCCCACUGUACUCUGAACUGCCACAGGAGCUGCUGCUGGAAGUGGAGCCGAGGCGCCCUGGGGAAAAGUUAAACCAAUAGGACUGUUAGGUUUGUACAGAACAACUCAUUCAGCACCUUUACAAGCCUACUCCAGACCUAGGCUAUUGUCACAGGAUCAAUCCAUACUUCUGUCACUGUCUCAGGAUAGGGCUGGACAAUACUACCCAUUCAUGACCAAGAGGUUUGAUCCCCACAAAUUCUGGGAGGUACAGUUAACUCUAAUGAACUCAUCCUCUGCAGCUGAGGUAAAUCUGGGUCUUUUCCUGUGUCAUGAGAGACAGUUUCAUCAUAGCACUUUCAAAGUUCUUGCAUUUUUCCAGAUUGACUGAUCUUCAUGUCUUAAAGUAAUGAUGGACUGUUGUUUCUCUUCGCUUAUUUGAGAUGUUCUUGCCAUAAUAUGGAUUUGGUCUUUUACCAAAUAGGGCUAUCUUCUGUAUACAAUCCCUACCUUGUCACAACACAACUGAUUGGCUCAAACACAUUAAGAAGGAAAUAAAUUCCACAAAUGAAUUUUUAACAAGGCGAGCCUGUUGAUUGAAAUGCAUUCCGGGUGACUACCUCAUGAAAAUAAAGGUGAAAUAAAAGGUUAGAUUACAACAACAAAAAAUGAAGCUGGUUGAGAGAGAAUGUCAAAAGGGUACAAAGCUGUCAUCAAGGCAAAGGGUGGCUACUUUGAAGAAUCCAAAAUAUAUUUGGAUUUGUUUAACACUUUUUUUUGGUUACUACAUGAUUCCAUAUGUGUUAUUUCAUAGUUGAUGUCUUCACUAUUAUUCUACAAUGUAGAAAAUAGUAAAAAAAAAAUUAAACUGUAGGUGUAUCCAAACUCUUGACUGAUACAUAUUUAUUUUUUUACUUGGGUGCCAGUUUUCAACACUUCCAAAGACAAAGGAAAAUCACACUGAUGGAGUUUGACUGAGUUACGGCCUGAGUGCUUCUUUUGUAAAGACAUGCCCUGGCCCGAGAGCUACUCACUUCGGUAGUAGUCAUUGGUAGCAACAAGAGAAGCGCCUGCAUUGAUCGCUGCCAUUCUUCAGAUCUUGUUGAAUAGUGCGUUAGAUAGAAACCCUGGAAGAAGAAUGGGACACUAAGUCAGACAUUUGUACAUAGACAGAGAUUAUAGCACAAGUUUUUGCAACGAUGUAGUUCCUAGCCAGUCCUUCAGAAUGCAUGGCUGGCUAACUACAUACAGUAACAAGCAAUAAGAGUCACCUCUCACACUUAGCUAUAUGAGAAAUAUUGAAACAAUCAUUGCUGCCAAGGCUGCCUCAAAUUGUUAGUGUGUAGGCUACCAUCUGUUCUGUGACUUUAAUGUAGGCAUCUGAUACUACUAAACACAAAUGACAAGGUUUUUUAUUUAUUUAUUUAAAAUUAACCUUUAUUUAAACAAGGCAAGUCAGUUAAGAACAAAUUCUUAUCUACAAUAACGGCCUACCAGGGAACAGUGGGUUCACUGCCUUGUUCAGGAGAAGAACGACAGAUUUUUUUUUACCUUGUCAACUCCGGGAUUGAACCCAAUUGACAUUUCAGUUACCGGACCAACCGUCUAACCACCCAACCGGCCGUCUAACCACCCAACCGGCCGUCUAACCACUGUCGCCCCAAAACUACAAUAUCUCGCUGAUGUGGGUGUGCUAAACUCAGGGACCAUUCGACCUAAAUCUAACCAUGAUUUCAAUUAACAACUGCCAUUCGCUGGUGGUACAUAACUAGCUAGUUAACGUUAGAUAGCUAGGCGCCUAAUUAUACUUUACUAGCUAAUUUACAAUGUUACCAUUCUUAAAAAAAAAAAGUGAUCGAAAAUGACAAACUUGAGUUUAGAAACAUAACAUUUGUUAGUCUGUUGUUGAAGAAAAAGCCAACUCGACUAACCGUUAGCUAGAAGAACAUGUCCAUUUUGGGGACGAAAGGCCUAAAAAUGACUCUCGAGUAAAAUGUCAAAAGCAAAUUUUACUUGGCUAUGUUGGCAAACAAUUAACAUAAAAGUGAGUGUAGCUGCAAACAAAUGAUUUCGUGCUGUUGUCAUACAAAGCAAAUGUCCAAAAACAACAAGCACAUCUUCUUACAUGACCGAGUAUCAUUAGCAUUAGCUAACUUAGCAUCGACUGAAUUCAAUCAUCAAAACUGCCGUUUCAAGCAAAUCUCACCUUUUUUGUUGUUGUUGUUGUUACCCAAGAGAUGUUAAAACAGCAGCCAACUGAAUCAGCGAGGCUAGGUAGGGGAGUUAACGCUAGGCGACGGGGCCCAUUUGAAACUAGAUUUAGGGGGUAAAUACGACCCUGCGGUAGUAGUGAAGUAUAUCUGCGGUAAAUGUUAUGCCAGAAUGAAGGAUUUGGAGAGAGGUUUUAUACUACGAGGUGACUGACAGACACUCUCUGGUCAGACCAGGAGGAGCUUGAACAUGGAUCGUGUACGACGUGCAGUGGGGUGACGAGAGUUUGUUUGCUCAGGGUGGGGGAAAAAACUGUUUGAAC
rnacentral:lncRNA from 1 species